rnacentral:rRNA from 1 species
ACGAACGCUGGCGGCGUGCUUCACACAUGCAAGUCGAACGGAAAGGCCCUGCUUUUGUGGGGUGCUCGAGUGGCGAACGGGUGAGUAACACGUGAGUAACCUGCCCUUGACUUUGGGAUAACUUCAGGAAACUGGGGCUAAUACCGGAUAGGAGCUCCUGCUGCAUGGUGGGGGUUGGAAAGUUUCGGCGGUUGGGGAUGGACUCGCGGCUUAUCAGCUUGUUGGUGGGGUAGUGGCUUACCAAGGCUUUGACGGGUAGCCGGCCUGAGAGGGUGUCCGGCCACAUUGGGACUGAGAUACGGCCCAGACUCCUACGGGAGGCAGCAGUGGGGAAUAUUGCACAAUGGGCGGAAGCCUGAUGCAGCAACGCCGCGUGCGGGAUGACGGCCUUCGGGUUGUAAACCGCUUUCGCCUGUGACGAAGCGUGAGUGACGGUAAUGGGUAAAGAAGCACCGGCUAACUACGUG